rnacentral:siRNA from 1 species
UGAUGAUUCUAAUGCCAUUGAC